GGAAUAAAAUACUUAUCCUUUAUUGGAAGUCGAAAUUGGAUAUAUAACCCCUUCUUUCUUUAGUUAAGGAAUAAUCCAGGCCAAAGUAGUCGUAUAAGAAAAUGAUGUAUUUUAUAUCUAGUAAUAAAAAAAUUACAACUCCUUUAUACAGGGACAUGUGUCUCUUGUCUAAGAACUCGUCUAAUUAAAUUGUAUCAAAGAUCAACUUCUUGGAAAUUAUGUCAAAUCAAAUGAAGACCAAAAUGC
rnacentral:misc_RNA from 1 species